UACGGGGGGAGCAAGCGUUGUUCGGAUUUACUGGGCGUAAAGGGCGCGUAGGCGGUCGUGACAAGUCACUUGUGAAAUCUCCGGGCUUAACUCGGAACGGUCAAGUGAUACUGUCGGACUAGAGUACAGAAGGGGCAACUGGAAUUCUCGGUGUAGCGGCGAAAUGCGUAGAUAUCGAGAGGAACACCUGCGGCGAAGGCGGGUUGCUGGGCUGAUACUGACGCUGAGGCGCGAAAGCCAGGGGAGCGAACGGG
rnacentral:rRNA from 1 species